UACCAUGCUUUCAGUGAUCAUUUCUAUAGUUCGUCCCUAGAGAAGUCUCUGACUGCCUAGAGCACUGGAAACUGUGAGGAGGUGGUGCAGUGUUCUCUCCUGAGAGUGAAGCUGGCGCUGGGUGUUGUUUUGUGCAACUGCCCAUUGCCAUUGAUGAUUGUUCUAAAGAAAGAAAGAAAGAAAGAAAGGA
rnacentral:snoRNA from 1 species